GUGGGGGCCGUCGCGGGCCGAGGAGACAGAGUCGCAGGUAGUAUCCUGUGGAGUGAUGACAAGAGCUUCUGGGAGAGACUCAGGGGGCAGUUGAUGGCCAAGUUGUAGACCCCGGGAGAGUGAUUGCUCCAGGUAGCUCGGACUCUACAUAGACCAAGGUGCCCUUAAGCCCAUAGAAGUCUACGUGUUUCUGUCUGCAGAGUGGUAAGAAUACAGCGUGUGCCACACCUGACCCAAGCUCUCUCUUUUUAAAAGGUGCGAACUUCUGGCUGUUGCUUCUCCCUCUCAGAAGCAUGCUUUCUCCAUCCCUUAGGUUUUGGUGUGUUUGUUUCUCAUUGGACUCAAGGUUGCUUUCCAUUUAUUUUGUGGUUUCAUUUUGACCUAUUAGUUCAGUGGUUCUCAACCUGUGGGUAGUGAUCGCUUCAGGGGUCCAGUAACCCUUUCACAGGGGUCACCUAAAACCAUCAGAAAACACAGAUAUUUAUUUACAUUAUGAUUCAUAACUGUAGCAAAAUUACAAUUAUGAAGUAGCAACAAAAAUAAUUUUAUAGUUGGGGUCACUAUAACAUGAGGAACUGUAUAAAGGGUCACAGCAUUAGUUGUUUGAUUCCUACAGGUGUGUGAACUCUGACUAGCUUCAUGUCACAUGACCUGAAAAAAGCCUUUGAUUUAAAUGCUUUUAAAUAUAUUGAGACUUAUUUGUGGCUGAGGAUCUGCAUGUUUUGUGAUCUGAAGCAUGUUCCAUGUGUACUUGGGAAAAGUGUGGCCUUUCUAUUACGGGGCAGUGUGGUUUUUUUGUUUUGUUUUGUUUUGUUUUUUCGAGACAGGGUUUCUCUGUGG